rnacentral:rRNA from 1 species
UGGGGAAUUUUGGACAAUGGGGGCAACCCUGAUCCAGCAAUGCCGCGUGAGUGAAGAAGGCCUUCGGGUUGUAAAGCUCCUUUGUCAGGGAAGAAACGGUAGUAGCGAAUAACUAUUACUAAUGACGGUACCUGAAGAAUAACCACCGGCUAACUACGUGCCAGCAGCCGCGGUAAUACGUAGGGUGCAAGCGUUAAUCGGAAUUACUGGGCGUAAAGCGUGCGCAGGCGGUUGUGUAAGUCAGAUGUGAAAUCCCCGGGCUCAACCUGGGAAUUGCAUUUGAGACUGCACGGCUAGGGUGUGUCAGAGGGGGGUAGAAUUCCACGUGUAGCAGUGAAAUGCGUAGAUAUGUGGAGGAAUACCGAUGGCGAAGGCAGCCCCCUGGGAUAACACUGACGCUCAUGCACGAAAGCGUGGGGAGCAAACAGGAUUAGAUACCCUUGUAUCCCUGAGCGGGCUGGCAAGGCGCAU